UGGGGAAUAUUGGACAAUGGGCGGAAGCCUGAUCCAGCAACGCCGCGUGAGGGAUGACGGCCUUCGGGUUGUAAACCUCUUUCAGUACCGACGAAGCGAAAGUGACGGUAGGUACAGAAGAAGGACCGGCCAACUACGUGCCAGCAGCCGCGGUAAUACGUAGGGUCCGAGCGUUGUCCGGAAUUAUUGGGCGUAAAGGGCUCGUAGGCGGUUUGUCGCGUCGGGAGUGAAAACAGCGGGCUUAACUCGUUGCUUGCUUUCGAUACGGGCAGACUAGAGGUAUGCAGGGGAGAAUGGAAUUCCUGGUGUAGCGGUGAAAUGCGCAGAUAUCAGGAGGAACACCGGUGGCGAAGGCGGUUCUCUGGGCAUUACCUGACGCUGAGGAGCGAAAGUGUGGGGAGCGAACAGGAUUAGAUACCCUGGUAGUCCACACCGUAAACGUUGGGGCGCUAGGUGUGGGGUCCUUUCCACGGAUUCCGUGCCGUAGCUAACGCAUUAAGCGCCCCGCCU
rnacentral:rRNA from 1 species